rnacentral:lncRNA from 1 species
AUACAUCUCUUGCAUUGACACUCUAUCCGACUAGCACUGUAAGUCUUAUGCCGUGCAAAGUCAAUAAAAUCUCGAACAUCUUUUCGAUAUUCAGGCAAAAAAAUAUCUCUAGCAUUCAUCCAACUUUUGUUGAUAUCCAUCUAAUAACAAACAUGAAAAUCAUUAACAAUAAAAAAAUUUUCAGUGGUAUUCAUUCGAAUCAGAUCCCGAUCCGGAUUGCGGAUCGAAUCCCGAUCUGAAUUCGUAUCAAAUCCUGAUUCGGAUCCAGAUAUGGAUCAUUUUAUACAAAACAGUACGCA